rnacentral:rRNA from 1 species
CCCUUAGAUGUCCUGGGCCGCACGCGCGCUACACUGAGUGUCUGAGAUACGAGUCUGCCUGGUCCGGCAAGGUCUAGGUAAUCGCUAAAAGACACAUCAUGCUUGGGAUAGAUUAUUGCAAAUAUUAAUCUUGAACGAGGAAUUCCUAGUAAGGGCAAGUCAACAGCUUGCGUUGAUUACGUCCCUGCCCUUUGUACACACCGCCCGUCGCUACUACUGAUUGGAUGUUUAAGCGAGGUUCUCGAACUGCUAGCGACUUAGCUUCGGUGAGGUCGCAGUGUGGGAAGUGAACCUAGCUUUGGUGUCUAGAGGAAGUAAAAGUCGUAACA